GGGGUUAUUGCUCAUGACGAAGCCUGAUGCAGCCAUGCCGCGUGAAUGAUGAAGGUCUUUAGGAUUGUAAAAUUCUUUCACCGGGGACGAUAAUGACGGUACCCGGAGAAGAAGCCCCGGCUAACUUCGUGCCAGCAGCCGCGGUAAUACA
rnacentral:rRNA from 1 species